rnacentral:lncRNA from 1 species
CAUCACUGAGUUGAGAUUGAAUUAUAAUCGCUAUCUAUUCUUAAUUGCUGGCAUUCGGUGAAAGCUUUUGUUUGAGCAAAGCAUGAUGUCAUUAGAUGAAAGUGCCCAUCUUUGCCACUUAAUAAAGUUUUCGAUUAAGAAUAUUUUGCAAAAAGAAAAGAUAAUAAUAACAAUAAUGCCAGGUAGCAGUUAGCAUGCACGCCUGGCCGUCCACUGACCCUGAUGCUAGCUUUCAUCAGUCACCGUUGGACGGCCCCACCACGAGAUUCCUAUGGCCACACUGAUAAAAACCCAUGACCUAAACCGUUGAUCAUUUUUCAUAAACAUUAAUUAAUGCUCCAUUUAAUUAAAUAAAGUGCAAUUAACGCUAGUUUGAAAUUUGAACAUGUCAAGGUCCGCAACGGUCCCCCCCACCCUCACCCGGAGCUGAGCUGGGCCGAGCUGAGAGAGAGAGAGAGAGAGAGAGAAGAAGAAGGUUGAAAACCAUUAACAAAGAAGAGAAGAUAAUGCCAUUUGUAGAAUAUCUUAAAGCACAUCUCGAGAAAGCAAUAUUUGAUAAUCAAAACAAAGAAUGGAGGGUGACCUAAAAAAUACGAUUGGUUUAAAUAUUGAAGGGGCCAUGCCACAGCCGGUGUGCGAUGCUGGUCAAAAGGGUUAGCGACGCCGCCGCCACUGCCUCUUCUCCUACUUUACCUCGCUCUUACGCCUCUCGCUUUCAUUGGUCUGAUUUCGUGCAGGUGAUAGUGUAGGUCACCCUUUCUUUCUACUCCACACCAAACCAAACGUUCUCCAGAAGCAGGGGGGUGGGCAAUCCUGUACACAAAUACACAUUUUCUUUGCGAUUUUGUCUCUUAUUAGCUUUCCCUGCGCAUCUUCUUUGGACGAAAGUUUUAUCAGAGAAUUUUUCUUUUGCGGCAUUUGGUCCCUUUUCAUUUUCAGAAAAAAGCGAUUUGAUUCUUGUAGUUCAAGUUGUUGAUCUGCUUUCUUGUCGAUUAGCAUUAUAUUAUUGUGUAUAUCCAGCAAAUGUCAACUGUGGAUGAUAGAUA